AGGACUUUAGCUUAAUUAAAGUUUUUGAGUUGCAUUCAGAAGAUGUGGGGUGAUGCCCGCAAGUCCUAC
rnacentral:tRNA from 1 species